GUGAGGAAUCUUGCGCAAUGGGCGAAAGCCUGACGCAGCGACGCCGCGUGGAGGAUGAAGGCCUUCGGGUCGUAAACUCCUGUCGAGGGGGACGAAAUGGCACUCUGUCAAUAGCAGGGUGUCUUGACUGUACCCCUGGAGGAAGCCCCGGCUAACUCCGUGCCAGCAGCCGCGGUAAUACGGAGGGGGCCAGCGUUGCUCGGAAUUACUGGGCGUAAAGGGCUCGUAGGCGGUCUGAUAAGUCCUGUGUGAAAUCCCUUGGCUUAACCAAGGAACUGCGCCGGAUACUGUCGGACUAGAGGCCGGGAGAGGGAAGCGGAAUUCCCAGUGUAGCGGUGAAAUGCGUAGAUAUUGGGAGGAACAUCGGUGGCGAAGGCGGCUUCCUGGACCGGUUCUGACGCUGAGGAGCGAAAGCUAGGGUAGCAAACAGGAUUAGAAACCCGAGUAGUCC
rnacentral:rRNA from 1 species